rnacentral:rRNA from 1 species
AUUCCAGCUCCAAUAGCGUAUAUUAAAGUUGUUGCGGUUAAAAAGCUCGUAGUUGGAUUUCUGCCGAGGACGACCGGUCCGCCCUCUGGGUGAGUAUCUGGCUCGGCCUGGGCAUCUUCUUGGAGAACGUAGCUGCACUUGACUGUGUGGUGCGGUAUCCAGGACUUUUACUUUGAGGAAAUUAGAGUGUUUCAAGCAGGCACACGCCCUGAAUACAUUAGCAUGGAAUAAUAAGAUAGGACCUCGGUUCUAUUUUGUUGGUUUUGAGAACCAGAGUAAUGAUUAAUAGGGAUAGUUGGGGGCAUUCAUAUCUCAUUGUCAGAGGUGAAAUUCUUGGAUUUAUGAAAGAUGAACUUCUGCGAAAGCAUUUGCCAAGGAUGUUUUCAUCG